CAAAAUAGCAGAAUGUUCUGAACACUGGCCAAGAAGAGGCAAAAGUAGCAGCCAGCUGACUACAGAUGGGAAUGGGCAGCUAUUUUUAAAAGCACAGGGUUUACUGAAAUGUCCACCCUUCAUCCUUUGGCUGACCUGAACCAGAAAAAAUACUAUAAAAUCCCUAUUGAGGAGAUAUGGGUGCAGAUUUCUCCAUGAAAAUUUCAGAUGAAAACGGCCUCUGCUCUUCCAGAACCCUAGAUCAGUUGUCAUUUGAACUCUGCUUACGACAUUCACGUGGUGCCACCCUGCAUUGUGGUUAUUUAUCCAUGUUUCAUUUCCCUUGCUGGUAUUAGGAAUAUGGAGGACACAGACCAUCUCUCACGUAUGGAUGAGUUUUGGCAAGGAACCUAACUUCACCAUACUUCAGUUUUCAACACCUGUCAAACGGAGAUGAGAGCUUACUGUAUAGGGUUGUAAAAAUUAAAUAUGAUAAUGCAUUUAGAACAUUUAGAACAAAGAGGUUAGCAGUGAUUGUUACAGAAACUUUUUUUUCCUCAAAAGUGCCUGGGACGGAAUUAAAAUGUUUUAAUGAAUGAAUGAAUAAACGACAUUUUAAAGCCAUUUUGGAUCCCAGCCAAUAUCACUUUAAGAGAAAGAUUCACAAUUGAAAUAUGGAUUCAAAAGACUGUGCUAUAUGGGAAAUGGUCUGAAAGCUAAGGGAAAGAAAAUUCUGUUAAGUGGACAUACACAUCAGUAUUCAGGAGACACCCAGGGAAUGCGAAAGGAAGCAAAACUUCACAAAUCUUUCAAAAUGAGAAAGUGAACAUCGUGUUAAGCAGCCAGGCCUUCCAAAUUACAAUGUUGCUGCCCAGUACUCAUUCCAUAGGCUCUUCUGUUGGAUACCCCAGCUCCCGCUGAUGUGACUUUGUCAUCAAUAUUAUAUUUGUAUUAUAUAUGACGUGCCUUUUGUCACAUGCAUCCUUUAAUUUGCUUCCCACACCAAUGCCUCCAAAUCCCCUUUGCUAUUCCUUCCACUUCCCAUGGCCUCUCUCUGGGCCCUCAUUUCCCAUUAGUCUCCCUGACGCUGCCAGCAGACCAUUCCAAAUCCUCCCCUGCCACAGGACAAAAGCUGCACAGAUGUGGGGAGAGCUGGCACUGGGAAUGCUAACAGUACUGUCAUCCUGUCCCAGCAGGAUGGUGGUCAGUUCUCUCUGGGACCAGAGGCAGAAAAAGGGGGGUUAAAAAAAGAGAAAAGAAAGACUGAAGACAGAAAAAGAGGGAAGACAAAAUAACCCAUUGAAAUCAAAAAGGAAAUGCAUGAGUGAGAUUUCUAUCAGGAAAACCAGUAGGAGGCAAUGGGGUGUCCUCUUGAUGGUGGCGGCCCACACUCCUGACCAGAGCCAAUGAAGAAGAGGGCAGAGCAGAGGGGAGAGGGGCUCAGGAGUAAGGCUGCAGGAAGCAAAGGAAGUGUCAACUCAAGAGCCACAAACAACAUCAGCUGUGCACCUGGCAAAGAGCCUGUGAAUCCUUCAGAAUUGCUAUUACUAAAGGCAUCCUUACAGUCAAGUCUUUGAACAAUUUUUCAGAUUUAUGUCAUAUGAAACCAUGGGACAGACAUAAACCAAAUUGUAAAAAAUAAGUAAAUAAACAACAAAGGCUUUAAGAGAUUUGCAAUAUUCAAUAACCAGGAGGAAUGUCUUUCUUGAUCUUCGGCAUAGUGUAAAAUUUUUAUUUGUUAUUUUUUUUUUCAUUUACAUGAAUUCAAACUGAUCAGACUUACCUACUGCAAAUCUGAUGCUAAUUUAAAAAUACAAUGCCAUAGUCUGGUAUACAUCCCUAAAUCCCAGACUUACUGAGGCCUCUUGGAAAGGCUGAUUUCUUUGUCAGGUCAGGAUAUUCCAGAGUUAUCAUCAUUACUAAGUUAGGAGAGAGUAUUUCAAUCAAGAGAGAUCACCUUAAGAAGGUGAUUACAGUAUUGAAAAAGGGUAAUGUUUUCUGUGUACUUGUCUCUGACUUCAAGAACACUAUAAUUUAAAGGAGUUUCUAUCAUCUAAAAG
rnacentral:lncRNA from 1 species